rnacentral:lncRNA from 1 species
UAUUUCUCAGAAAGCAAAGUUACCUUUUUAAAUCUGAAAACUUAAGAAAUUGAAAUAUUUUCAUGAUCUCUUGUAAUUCUGCUCUCUCCAGCGUGACGUUACGCAGUGCCGUUCCUCCCCGGCGAGGCAGCGCACAGUGCUGACGUACCCGAGCCCUCUGCGGUGGAGCCAGCUCACGACUUGCGAAGGGCCUUGAACUUCUGGUGGUGACUUUGACUUACGAGAGAAAGCGUUGAAAAGGAGAAAAGACUAUAUUUUAUGAGCGAUGGUUAAAAGAAAAGAAUAUGCAUUUCCUAAGGGGUGGACCAACCUUUUUAUAAAAGAAAAUACAGAGAACAUAAAAGGCUUGAUUUGAUGGUAUCAAUGACAUCAAAGCUCCUAGGUCAAUACAGCUGGAAUCCACUGCCAAGUCGAAGAUCCUCAGAACAGG